UUAAGUGACGAUAGCCUAGGAGAUACACCUGUUCCCAUGCCGAACACAGAAGUUAAGCCCUAGCACGCCUGAUGUAGUUGGGGGUUGCCCCUGUUAGAUACGGUAGUCGCUUAGC
rnacentral:rRNA from 1 species